AUUGAACGCUGGCGGCAGGCCUAACACAUGCAAGUCGAGCGGAUGAAGGGAGCUUGCUCCUGGAUUCAGCGGCGGACGGGUGAGAAAUGCCUAGGAAUCUGCCUGGUAGUGGGGGAUAACGUCCGGAAACGGGCGCUAAUACCGCAUACGUCCUGAGGGAGAAAGUGGGGGAUCUUCGGACCUCACGCUAUCAGAUGAGCCUAGGUCGGAUUAGCUAGUUGGUGGGGUAAAGGCCUACCAAGGUGACGAUCCGUAACUGGUCUGAGAGGAUGAUCAGUCACACUGGAACUGAGACACGGUCCAGACUCCUACGGGAGGCAGCAGUGGGGAAUAUUGGACAAUGGGCGAAAGCCUGAUCCAGCCAUGCCGCGUGUGUGAAGAAGGUCUUCGGAUUGUAAAGCACUUUAAGUUGGGAGGAAGGGCAGUAAGUUAAUACCUUGCUGUUUUGACGUUACCAACAGAAUAAGCACCGGCUAACUUCGUG
rnacentral:rRNA from 1 species